rnacentral:rRNA from 1 species
UUAUGUAUUCCUAAGCCAAUGGGAGGACUUGGUUUUCAUGACCCACAUUGAUUUAACCCUGCCAUGUAGUCACAGUAGGUAUGGCGCCUUCUUUGUGACCCUGAGUCCAUAUGUGCAAUAGUAUUGAGAACCAAAUAUUAUCUUGAUGGAAAACUUUUGAAUACAAAGAUGAAAAGUGGUGCAUCAUUCACUUGGCAGCGUAUCCUAGCUGGAGUGAAAACUUUUAAUAGUCUAUGUAUUUGGCAUGUCGGAGAGGGAACACUGAUCAACAUAUGA